rnacentral:rRNA from 1 species
AUUGAACGCUGGCGGCAGGCCUAACACAUGCAAGUCGAACGAGUGGCGGACGGGUGAGUAAUGUCUGGGAAAUUGCCUGAUGGAGGGGGAUAACUACUGGAACCGGUAGCUAUAACGGCAAACAAUCGAUUGUGCCAGGAUGGGAUUAGCUAGUAGGUGGGGUAAAGGCUCACCUAGGCGACGAUCCCUAGCUGGUCUGAGAGGAUGACCAGCCACACUGGAACUGAGACACGGUCCAGACUCCUACGGGAGGCAGCAGUGGGGAAUAUUGCACAAUGGGCGCAAGCCUGAUGCAGCCAUGCCGCGUGUAUGAAGAAGGCCUUCGGGUUGUAAAGUACUUUCAGCGGGGAGGCGUUACCCGCAGAAGAAGCACCGGCUAACUCCGUGCCAGCAGCCGCGGUAAUAC